GACGUAGGGGGCCAGCGUUGCUCGGAAUUACUGGGUGUAAAGGGUUCGUAGGCGGUGUGGCAAGUCGGGAGUGAAAUCUCUGGGCUCAACCCAGAGUCUGCUUCCGAAACUGCUGUGCUUGAGUGUGGGAGAGGCGCGUGGAAUUGCAGGUGUAGCGGUGAAAUGCGUAGAUAUCUGCAGGAACACCCGUGGCGAAAGCGGCGCGCUGGACCACAACUGACGCUGAGGCGCGAAAGCUAGGGGAGCAAACAGG
rnacentral:rRNA from 1 species